rnacentral:rRNA from 1 species
AUGGGACAUAAUUAUUACGGGGAACCCGCAUGGUCCAACAAUAUUUUAUAUAUUUUUCUAGUAGUAAUUCUAGGUACUAUUGCAUGUAAUGUAGGUUUAGCGGUUCUCGAGCCAUCAAUGAUUGGUGAGCCGGCAGAUCCGUUUGCAACUCCUCUGGAAAUAUUACCCGAGUGGUACUUCUUCCCAGUGUUUCAAAUACAUGUCUAG